rnacentral:lncRNA from 1 species
UUAUUUUGAAAAUAUCCUUCUAAAUGCACACUAUAGGAAAAAAAUUAAACAUACGGUCUUUUCUAGUGAGAGAUACUCUCUCUUCUCUCUAGAAAAUAUCACAUUAAACCUUUAGAGUUUGAUGUUGGUUGCCUUCCACCUUUAUGGUGGCUUCCAUCUACCACCCUUAUGGUGGUCAUCCCACCUCUAUGACGGGUAAUACCUGUUUCAUGCAACCUCACACUCAUGCUUCCUCCAAAACUAGCUCCCUCAUCGGAAUAUCCUUUCUUCACUGCAAACCAUUAUCAAGCCGUCUAUUUCUCUGCUGAUCCGGCGGCCACCCGAACCACCACCGCUAGGAGAUGGAAAGCUUGUUAAGGUUGUUCUUAGCAUCUCAAACUUAAUAAUAAUGUGUGUAACUCUCUUCCAUGUUUUUCUCUCACAUCUUUGAUGUUUGAUAUGUUUCGGCCACCCCCAAAGUCACCGUGGAUUUACUAUAUGUUGCAUUUUAUCGCUCUUCUAGAUCUAUCAAUUUCUGGUUUUGUGUUGUCUAUUUUAUGUUUUUUUUUAUUUUGGAAUUUAAGUAAGCACUCUUGGUGUUUGAUAAAAAGUCUCAACGGAUUUUUGUGUCUUAGAGCAACACUAUCUCUAGUCAUCAAUUAAAAUUUGAGCAUUCCAUAAAAAUAGACAAUCUUGAGACCAAAGGCAGUCGAAAUGCGCAUAUACAGGUCAAAGAAAUCAUCCUUAAUUGAAUUUGGAAAAAGACUAUGGAUUCUCAUUCCUAUAUUGCCACUAAUGAUGAAUGAAUGAUAUGAUGUUGUUUCUGGUUUGGUUGUGUCUUUUCAACUUUUGAUCAAUCUAAGUGUAAUGUCUUUUAUGUUUAUACAAUUUUUAUUAGUAGAGAUGCUUCUAGACUAUGAGAUAUGUCUUAUAUCAUAUGUCUUUAAUGUCUUGUGACUUUUCGGUUAAUGAAAUGGUUUUUUUCCUAUAGAAUAAAAUAAAAUAAAAUAAAAUAAAUGCACACUAUAGGAAGGUGUUUCCC